rnacentral:rRNA from 1 species
GACGUAGGGUGCGAGCGUUGUCCGGAUUUAUUGGGCGUAAAGAGCUCGUAGGCGGCUCGUCGCGUCGACCGUGAAAACCCGCGGCUUUAACUGCGGGCUUGCGGUUGAUACGGGCGGGCUAGAGUUCGGUAGGGGAGACUGGAAUUCCUGGUGUAGCGGUGAAAUGCGCAGAUAUCAGGAGGAACACCGGUGGCGAAGGCGGGUCUCUGGGCCGAUACUGACGCUGAGGAGCGAAAGCGUGGGGAGCGAACAGG